rnacentral:sRNA from 1 species
UAUCAUCGGCAAAGCGAAGAUGUGAGA